rnacentral:rRNA from 1 species
GAUGAACGCUGGCGGCGCGCCUAACACAUGCAAGUCGAACGAUUAAAGCACCUUCGGGUGUGUAUAAAGUGGCGAACGGCUGAGUAACACGUGGGCAACCUGCCCCUUUCAUUGGGAUAGCCACGGGAAACCGUGGAUAAUACCGAAUACUUCGAGACUUCCGCAUGGAAGACUCGAGAAAGCUCCGGCGGAGAGGGAUGGGCCCGCGGCCUGUUAGCUUGUUGGUGGGGUAACGGCCUACCAAGGCAAUGAUGGGUAGCUGGGUUGAGAGACCGACCAGCCAGAUUGGGACUGAGACACGGCCCAGACUCCUACGGGAGGCAGCAGUGGGGAAUCUUGCACAAUGGGCGAAAGCCUGAUGCAGCGACGCCGCGUGCGGGAUGAAGGCCUUCGGGUUGUAAACCGCUUUCAACAGGGACGAGGCGAAAGUGACGGUACCUGCAGAAGAAGCCCCGGCUAACUACGUG